CAGAGAGCUAUCUCUUUGAUUUCCAGCUCCAUUCCCUCAUGGUUCAUGCUCUCCCAAUGUGCUGUGCUGACAAGGAUGGGUAUGUGGCAUCUCUGUCAUGAAGCCAAGGACAGGCAAAAUGGGAGACAAAACAGAAACUGUGAAGCAUGAAGUUUGACCAAGUAAAAGAGGUUUUAAAACUAAAACUGGCAAAACAAAUCUAUGCAGGAAAUUAAAGUGGUUCACUCAAAGAAAACUGAAGCCAACCGGACAGAUGAGCAGAGACAAAGGAAGACUACAACUGGGAAGGUGGUUGUUCCUUAACUAGGAAAACACAGGUAUUGAAGACAGAAUCCAGGGAUUAAUGCAUGCUGUGGAAUCACAUUAAUGAGACUCACAGGAGCCACU
rnacentral:lncRNA from 1 species